CCUACGGGAGGCAGCAGUAGGGAAUAUUGCACCAUGGGCGAAAGCCUGAUGCAGCAACGCCGCGUGAGUGAAGAAGGCCUUCGGGUCGUAAAACUCUUUUCAAGGGAAAGAGGAAGGACGGUACCCUUGGAAUAAGCAUCGGCUAACUACGUGCCAGCAGCCGCGGUAACACGUAGGAUGCGAGCGUUAUUCGGAUUUACUGGGCGUAAAGCGCGUGUAGGCGGUUAGGAGAGUUGGAUGUGAAAGCUCCCGGCUUAACUGGGAGAGGUCGUUCAAAACUUCCUGACUAGAGUUUGGUAGAGGAAAAUGGAAUUCCGGGUGUAGUGGUGAAAUGCGUAGAUAUCCGGAGGAACACCAGUGGCGAAAGCGAUUUUCUGGACCGAUACUGACGCUCAGACGCGAAAGCUAGGGUAGCAAACGGGAUUAGAGACCCCGGUAGUCCUAGCUGUAAACGAUGUAGACUUGGGUUGGGAGAGUAAAAUCAUCCAGUGCCGAAGCAAACGCGAUAAGUCUACCGCCUGGGGAGUACGGCGCAAGGUUAAAACUCAAAGGAAUUGACGGGGCCCCGCUCAAGCAGCGGAGCGUGUGGUUUAAUUCGAUGCUACACGAAGAACCUUACCGGGUUUGACAUAUAAGUGGUAGGGAAGGGAAACGGACCGACCCUUCGGGGAGCUAUGAGAAGGGCGAAUUCCGCCCCGGGGGGGCUUA
rnacentral:rRNA from 1 species